GGGGUUGUGGCUCAGUGGAGAGCACUUGCCUUGCAUGUAGGAGGCCCUGGGUUUGAUCCUCAGCACCA
rnacentral:tRNA from 1 species